GCCUUCGUGGUAUAGUGGUCAGCACGCUCGACGCGUAACCGAGAGGUCCGUGGUUCGAUUCCCGGCGAAGGCA
rnacentral:tRNA from 1 species